AAAGUGCGAUAAGUCAUGUGAAUUGCAGAUUGUGAAUCAUCGAAUCUUUGAACGCAAAUGGCGCUUGGAGGCUCAAUCCUCCAAGCAUGUCUGGCUGAGUGUCGGUUAUAUCCUGAUCCAUCACCCCUUUUAGGGUGUGUGAGUGUGUGGGAACGCUGUGGCUCUUCUCUACGUGUAGAGAACGCGACAGACGGUCCUGAAGUGGAACCCAGUAGCGCUGCGCUUUUUGCACAGUGGCCUGCCAACGUGUGGUGUUUGUGUUACAACUAACUAACGCGUUGUGCGGCGUGUGUGCUUCACACGGUGCAGUGCGAAUGUCCAAAACAAACAAAACUAAACAUAUACAUCAUCGACAUCAGCUCAGGCAAGAGUACCCGCUGAACUUAA
rnacentral:misc_RNA from 1 species